rnacentral:rRNA from 1 species
AUACGUAGGGGGCGAGCGUUGUCCGGAAUGACUGGGCGUAAAGGGCGUGUAGGCGGCUUUACAAGUCUUUCGUGAAAGUCCUGCUUUCAAGGUGGGAAUUGCGUAGGAAACUGUAGAGCUUGAGUGCGGAAGAGGUAAGUGGAAUUCCCAGUGUAGCGGUGAAAUGCGUAGAGAUUGGGAGGAACACCAGUGGCGAAGGCGACUUACUGGGCCGUAACUGACGCUGAUGCGCGAAAGCGUGGGGAGCGAACAGGAUUAGAUACCCUGGUAGUCCACGCUGUAAACUAUGAUAACUAUCUUUUAGCGAUACACAGUUAGAGGGUACGAGAAAUCAUUAAGUUAUCCACCUGGGGAUUACGUUCGCAAGAAUGAAACUCAAAGGAAUUGACGGGG